rnacentral:rRNA from 1 species
UACGGGGGGGGGCAAGCGUUGUUCGGAAUUACUGGGCGUAAAGGGCUCGUAGGCGGCCAACUAAGUCAGACGUGAAAUCCCUCGGCUUAACCGGGGAACUGCGUCUGAUACUGGAUGGCUUGAGUUUGGGAGAGGGAUGCGGAAUUCCAGGUGUAGCGGUGAAAUGCGUAGAUAUCUGGAGGAACACCGGUGGCGAAGGCGGCAUCCUGGACCAACACUGACGCUGAGGAGCGAAAGCCAGGGGAGCAAACAGG